rnacentral:tRNA from 3 species
GAUUUCGUAGCUCAAUUGGCAGAGCGCUUGACUGUUAAUCAAUAGGUUGAAGGUUCGAUUCCUUCCGAAAUCGC